GGUUAAGCGACUAAGCGUACACGGUGGAUGCCCUGGCAGUCAGAGGCGAUGAAGGACGUGCUAAUCUGCGAAAAGCGUCGGUAAGGUGAUAUGAACCGUUAUAACCGGCGAUGUCCGAAUGGGGAAACCCAGUGCAAUUCGUUGCACUAUCGUUAACUGAAUACAUAGGUUAACGAGGCGAACCGGGGGAACUGAAACAUCUAAGUACCCCGAGGAAAAGAAAUCAACCGAGAUUCCCCCAGUAGCGGCGAGCGAACGGGGAGCAGCCCAGAGUCUGAAUCAGCUUGUGUGUUAGUGGAACGGUCUGGAAAGUCCGACGGUACAGGGUGAUAGUCCCGUACACCAAAAUGCACAGGUUGUGAACUCGAAGAGUAGGGCGGGACACGUGGUAUCCUGUCUGAAUAUGGGGGGACCAUCCUCCAAGGCUAAAUACUCCUGACUGACCGAUAGUGAACCAGUACCGUGAGGGAAAGGCGAAAAGAACCCCGGCGAGGGGAGUGAAAAAGAACCUGAAACCGUGUACGUACAAGCAGUGGGAGCACCUUCGGGUGUGACUGCGUACCUUUUGUAUAAUGGGUCAGCGACUUAUAUUCUGUAGCAAGGUUAACCGUAUAGGGGAGCCGCAGGGAAACCGAGUCUUAACUGGGCGUUAAGUUGCAGGGUAUAGACCCGAAACCCGGUGAUCUAGCCAUGGGCAGGUUGAAGGUUGGGUAACACUAACUGGAGGACCGAACCGACUAAUGUUGAAAAAUUAGCGGAUGACUUGUGGCUGGGGGUGAAAGGCCAAUCAAACCGGGAGAUAGCUGGUUCUCCCCGAAAGCUAUUUAGGUAGCGCCUCGUGAAUUCAUCUUCGGGGGUAGAGCACUGUUUCGGCUAGGGGGUCAUCCCGACUUACCAACCCGAUGCAAACUACGAAUACCGAAGAAUGUUAUCACGGGAGACACACGGCGGGUGCUAACGUCCGUCGUGAAGAGGGAAACAACCCAGACCGCCAGCUAAGGUCCCAAAGUCAUGGUUAAGUGGGAAACGAUGUGGGAAGGCACAGACAGCCAGGAUGUUGGCUUAGAAGCAGCCAUCAUUUAAAGAAAGCGUAAUAGCUCACUGGUCGAGUCGGCCUGCGCGGAAGAUGUAACGGGGCUAAACCAUGCACCGAAGCUGCGGCAGCGACACUAUGUGUUGUUGGGUAGGGGAGCGUUCUGUAAGCCUGCGAAGGUGGCCUGUGAGGGCUGCUGGAGGUAUCAGAAGUGCGAAUGCUGACAUAAGUAACGAUAAAGCGGGUGAAAAGCCCGCUCGCCGGAAGACCAAGGGUUCCUGUCCAACGUUAAUCGGGGCAGGGUGAGUCGACCCCUAAGGCGAGGCCGAAAGGCGUAGUCGAUGGGAAACAGGUUAAUAUUCCUGUACUUGGUGUUACUGCGAAGGGGGGACGGAGAAGGCUAUGUUAGCCGGGCGACGGUUGUCCCGGUUUAAGCAUGUAGGCGGAGGUUCCAGGUAAAUCCGGUACCUUUUAACGCUGAGGUGUGAUGACGAGGCACUACGGUGCUGAAGUAACAAAUGCCCUGCUUCCAGGAAAAGCCUCUAAGCAUCAGGUAACAUUAAAUCGUACCCCAAACCGACACAGGUGGUCAGGUAGAGAAUACCAAGGCGCUUGAGAGAACUCGGGUGAAGGAACUAGGCAAAAUGGUGCCGUAACUUCGGGAGAAGGCACGCUGGUGUGUAGGUGAAGUCCCUGCGGACGGAGCUGAGACCAGUCGAAGAUACCAGCUGGCUGCAACUGUUUAUUAAAAACACAGCACUGUGCAAACACGAAAGUGGACGUAUACGGUGUGACGCCUGCCCGGUGCCGGAAGGUUAAUUGAUGGGGUUAUCCGUAAGGAGAAGCUCUUGAUCGAAGCCCCGGUAAACGGCGGCCGUAACUAUAACGGUCCUAAGGUAGCGAAAUUCCUUGUCGGGUAAGUUCCGACCUGCACGAAUGGCGUAAUGAUGGCCAGGCUGUCUCCACCCGAGACUCAGUGAAAUUGAACUCGCUGUGAAGAUGCAGUGUACCCGCGGCAAGACGGAAAGACCCCGUGAACCUUUACUAUAGCUUGACACUGAACAUUGAGCCUUGAUGUGUAGGAUAGGUGGGAGGCUUUGAAGCGUGGACGCCAGUCUGCGUGGAGCCAACCUUGAAAUACCACCCUUUAAUGUUUGAUGUUCUAACGUUGGCCCCUAAUCGGGGUUGCGGACAGUGUCUGGUGGGUAGUUUGACUGGGGCGGUCUCCUCCCAAAGAGUAACGGAGGAGCACGAAGGUUAGCUAAUCCUGGUCGGACAUCAGGAGGUUAGUGCAAUGGCAUAAGCUAGCUUGACUGCGAGCGUGACGGCGCGAGCAGGUGCGAAAGCAGGUCAUAGUGAUCCGGUGGUUCUGAAUGGAAGGGCCAUCGCUCAACGGAUAAAAGGUACUCCGGGGAUAACAGGCUGAUACCGCCCAAGAGUUCAUAUCGACGGCGGUGUUUGGCACCUCGAUGUCGGCUCAUCACAUCCUGGGGCUGAAGUAGGUCCCAAGGGUAUGGCUGUUCGCCAUUUAAAGUGGUACGCGAGCUGGGUUUAGAACGUCGUGAGACAGUUCGGUCCCUAUCUGCCGUGGGCGCUGGAGAAUUGAGGGGGGCUGCUCCUAGUACGAGAGGACCGGAGUGGACGCAUCACUGGUGUUCGGGUUGUCAUGCCAAUGGCACUGCCCGGUAGCUAAAUGCGGAAGAGAUAAGUGCUGAAAGCAUCUAAGCACGAAACUUGCCCCGAGAUGAGUUCUCCCUGAGACUAUAAGUCUCCUGAAGGAACGUUGAAGACGACGACGUUGAUAGGCCGGGUGUGUAAGCGCAGCGAUGCGUUGAGCUAACCGGUACUAAUGAACCGUGAGGCUUAACCUU
rnacentral:rRNA from 1 species